ACUCGGGUAGUUCAGUGGUAGAAUUCUGAACUUCUAUGCCAGACGCCCAGGUUUGAUUCCUGGCCAGUGUA
rnacentral:tRNA from 1 species